UACGUAGGGACCAAGCGUUGUUCGGAUUUACUGGGCGUAAAGGGCGCGUAGGCGGCCUGUUAAGUCGGGUGUGAAAGCCCCGGGCUUAACCUGGGAAUGGCCGUUGAAACUGGCGAACUGGAGUGUGGCAGAGGGGGGUGGAAUUCCGCGUGUAGCAGUGAAAUGCGUAGAGAUGCGGAGGAACACCGAUGGCGAAGGCAGCCCCCUGGGCUAACACUGACGCUCAGGCACGAAAGCGUGGGGAGCAAACAGG
rnacentral:rRNA from 1 species